GGUUAAGCGACUAAGCGUACACGGUGGAUGCCCUGGCAGUCAGAGGCGAUGAAGGACGUGCUAAUCUGCGAUAAGCGUCGGUAAGGUGAUAUGAACCGUUAUAACCGGCGAUUUCCGAAUGGGGAAACCCAGUGUGAUUCGUCACACUAUCAUUAACUGAAUCCAUAGGUUAAUGAGGCGAACCGGGGGAACUGAAACAUCUAAGUACCCCGAGGAAAAGAAAUCAACCGAGAUUCCCCCAGUAGCGGCGAGCGAACGGGGAGGAGCCCAGAGCCUGAAUCAGUGUGUGUGUUAGUGGAAGCGUCUGGAAAGGCGCGCGAUACAGGGUGACAGCCCCGUACACAAAAAUGCACAUGCUGUGAGCUCGAUGAGUAGGGCGGGACACGUGGUAUCCUGUCUGAAUAUGGGGGGACCAUCCUCCAAGGCUAAAUACUCCUGACUGACCGAUAGUGAACCAGUACCGUGAGGGAAAGGCGAAAAGAACCCCGGCGAGGGGAGUGAAAAAGAACCUGAAACCGUGUACGUACAAGCAGUGGGAGCACGCUUAGGCGUGUGACUGCGUACCUUUUGUAUAAUGGGUCAGCGACUUAUAUUCUGUAGCAAGGUUAACCGAAUAGGGGAGCCGAAGGGAAACCGAGUCUUAACUGGGCGUUAAGUUGCAGGGUAUAGACCCGAAACCCGGUGAUCUAGCCAUGGGCAGGUUGAAGGUUGGGUAACACUAACUGGAGGACCGAACCGACUAAUGUUGAAAAAUUAGCGGAUGACUUGUGGCUGGGGGUGAAAGGCCAAUCAAACCGGGAGAUAGCUGGUUCUCCCCGAAAGCUAUUUAGGUAGCGCCUCGUGAAUUCAUCUCCGGGGGUAGAGCACUGUUUCGGCAAGGGGGUCAUCCCGACUUACCAACCCGAUGCAAACUGCGAAUACCGGAGAAUGUUAUCACGGGAGA
rnacentral:rRNA from 1 species